AUGGCGGUAGAACAGCUAGCAAGAGGUGCCCAGCCCCGAUGCCAAUGCCCUUUCUGUUCUCGAGUCUUUGCAAUCUUCUGCCAUUCCUCGACUUUGAAAUGGUUAGACCACUGUCUUCGAGUCCGGUUGAGAAAUAGCGGAUUUGAGUACCGGGAAGUAAGGCCCUUGAAGAACCUUCCACGAAUUAUCGAUAGUAGUUUACUAAUCCAAGGAAGGAGUGAUGCGAAGAAUUGCUUUCUUUCGUACCCAUUCACAAGAAAGAAGGGUCUCAAGCAGUGUGUUCAUGGUCACUCAGAACAUAGGAUUUUCGGCAUCAAAGAGCGCGUGGGACAGGUGAGGGAAGGAAGGGCGGGAUGA